rnacentral:rRNA from 1 species
CUUAAAGGAAGUUGACGGGGCCCGGCACAAGCGGUGGAGUAUGUGGUUUAAUUCGAUGCAACGCGAAGAACCUUACCUGGUCUUGACAUCCCGGAGACCCUUAGGAAACUAGGGGGUGCUUCCAUCUGGAAGAAUCUGGAGACAGGUGCUGCAUGGCUGUCGUCAGCUCGUGUCGUGAGAUGUUGGGUUAAGUCCCGCAACGAGCGCAACCCUUGCCUUUAGUUGCCAGCAGUUCGGCUGGGCACUCUAAAGGGACUGCCGGUGUUAAACCGGAGGAAGGUGGGGAUGACGUCAAGUCCUCAUGGCCUUUAUGACCAGGGCUACACACGUACUACAAUGGCCGAUACAAAGGGCAGCGACACUGCGAGGUGAAGCCAAUCCCGUAAAAUCGGUCUCAGUCCGGAUUGGAGUCUGCAACUCGACUCCAUGAAGUUGGAAUCGCUAGUAAUCGUGGAUCAGCAUGCCACGGUGAAUACGUUCCCGGGCCUU